CGUCUUUUAUUCCAUCCCGGGCUCCAUUUUUGUGUCACUUCUCGGGACGAGCAUAUUAGAGCAGAGUUCCGGACGAAGAAAAGAGAAGUGAUCGGAAGGAAAGACGCCCCACGCCGGAUAAAGAUCAGCUGUUGGAUGCAGGCCUGUGACAAUACAGUAAGUCAGAGUACGUUUUCUAUUGAACUAUGCAAAAGUAUCUUGUACUUUACGGUGGUACAUGCAAUGCAAUGCAAUGCAAUGCAAGGAGGGUUUGAACAUGAGUAACACAGACACUAAGAGCCGGGUGAUGUCGAAGCUGAAGGAGAAAAAUGAUACAGAAAGACAGAUCAUUUCCUAAAUCGUACCAAUCAGUAGGUCCCCCCCCCCUCUCCCGUCUCGCCCACACUGGGGACUCAAAUGUUUUGUCAGGGUCAUUGUGUGGUGUCAGCGUUUUGGCACAGCGGAGUGAUUUAAGGGGGCAUGGCGUGCUUGUCAUGCCCCCACGCCCGACGGUUUCAGUCUGCCCUCAGUGUGUGCAAACAAAUAAAGCGCAGGGGCCUUUUUAAUUAGCUCCGGGGUCCAGAUUGACAGCUUGUAGUGGCACAGAUAGCACAGUAACCACCUAUUACUCUAAAUAUUUGGCGCGUUGCACAGUUGAAACCAUAAGCGUGGGCCCUCUGGAGGCUCGUUAGUGGGUGGAAAAUGUAAAACAAGUCACAGCGUGUGUUUGUUGCCUGGCAAUAUUAUAAAAACCAUACAACAGAUAUUUAGUAUGAUUCCUUGUAUUUUGGGGUCUUUCGGGGUCUUUCUAGAGACAACAAAACAACAAUUUUUUUUUAUUAUUAGGCAAAGGAAAAAAAAGUUGCAACCUUUCUCAUUACCAAUUUAAAAAUGCUUUAUUGUGUCACAGAGCAUUAGCACUGCUCGCCCACACAAGGACACCUUAAAACAAUGUUGAUGUUGACCUUAUGGUUAUAAAGGUCAUCCUAAAUCACUAUAGCCACAACUGGAGAGGGACAGAGCUAAUGUCUGGGAUUGAGCUGUAAAUCUGAAUUUAAGUCCAGAAAAAGAUAUACAAUUGAAAUAAUUGGCUUAAACAGACAGAAAUAUGUGCAGGUUCCUUUUAGUCACAUUCUAAUUAACUGUAGACAUUUUAUGACAUGAUCUCAUUUGAAAAAAAUUAUAAAUAAUGAUGGUUAAUAUUAGUCAAACAAUAUAACAUCACAAAACACUUCAUCCGCUUUUCAAAAACCAAAUGUAACCUGAAAAUGGUUGAAUUAUUUGCACUGACAUCGAGGCAGGAGUCCCAGUCGGAUACUGUGGAACAACCUUUAGCUUUUAAUCUUAACGUCACGCCCAAUAAUUGUUUGUCAUUGAAUCUGUGUGAUCCCUCGCUAAUCCAUGUCUUCUUAGGUCCUUACAGCUUUAUUACGCUCUGCAUCAAAGGCGAGCCGGGGGCGGAUGAAGAAUAGAAAUCCCAUGACGUGUUGGAUAUCACGUCUCAGUUUGUCCUGUAAAACUCUUCGAGAACAACACAUUACUCCAAUUAUCCCCUUUGUGUUUUUUGCCUUGUUGCCCGAUGGUCGUGUAAGUAUUUGUUAGAGCAGAGCUGUUUCCAUCUUUCCCCGUCUGCUGAUAUUGUGUUGUGUUUCUCCACCGGGCAAGUAACAACAUGCUGCUUCCUGAUCUCUCUCCACACUGAAUAAUGUGUCAUACUUACAAAAAAAUCCUUAGAGGGGGUGAAUAUGAAUUGAUGAGACACUAAACUGAUAACAUGUUUCAUUUAGUCAACUUCCAUUAUUAAUUAAAUCAUAAUAGCUCUUAGGAUGUUUUCUUCAAGUCUGAUCAUGAGCCGUUUUUUUUUCUUCAUUUUUUUUUAAAUCUCAGGCUAUGAAGGUCAUAAUUCAUAGUGCGACUGUGUGAGGGGCAUAUGUGACACUGAUGGGUCUCGUGUUUAUUUAAUGCCGACUGAAUGACGGUGGUCAGGCCUUCGGCUUCCUCUGCUCUUAAAAUGUAAUUAUGGGGGAGUCCUUCCCUGCAGCAGUUUGACAGCUCUGCUGAACUUUUCAUGAUAUAUGCUGAAUCACGAUGCAUUAUAAAUAUCUAGUAUAACCUGUUAUUUACUAUUAUUUUAAGGAUUUGUUACAUUUUUUUGAUUUGCUUACAACACAAGCAGCUAUACAAUGUAGUUUCUGAUGACUAUAAAUAAGUACCUUCUCAAAUCUUAAGUGAAAUAGAGUUUAUGAUUUUUGGUAAAAUAAAAUUAAUUGAGGCUCUGAGUGAAAAAAACCUGAAAAAGCUCUGAAGCAGAAACAUUGUAGACUUCCCAAGUUAUGAACUGCAUUCGUGAUCCAACGGAACUUAAAUACGUUUUGCCAGAAGAGCUACUGGAUGAACGUUAUAAUUAUAACCGUUUAUGUAAAGAAAAUGAUUAUUAUUCUGACGUAACUGGGGGUUGGUUCAAGAAUAAUAAAUUCCUCCUCAUAUAUAACACUUCUAAUUGUUUUUUUAAAAUCGAAAACACCUCCCAAUGUGAACAUUUUUGAAUAACUACGACGUGUAAUGUCGGAACUUUGUGACGUGUUAAAGGGAAGGCGAUUAUUUCUUUUUGCGUCUGAGUUUGCGGAUUAUGCAGUGACCUCAUUUCACAGGAAUGCCUGUGCACAAGGGUCGGGGCAGAAUGUUGAUUUGCGGAUUUCAUCCUUUCAUCUCUCACCUCGGUGCUUCUGCAGCGGCCGGCCUGGAGGAGAGCGCGUUGCGUUUGAGGCCUCAGACAAAAGCGGCCUAAUUACGGUCAAUAAAGUCCCCGUAUGCGGGUUAUCGCAACACGUCGCCGCGUGCGUGAAAUACACCCAAUUACAUUAUAAUCCAACGGGAAAAUAGCUGCACAAUGAAGGCGAGUGAACCCGUUAUGGAUUAAAUGCUCAUUUUCCAAUUUUAUCCACAUUGCCUCUAAUAAACAAUUAUUUCUACAAUAAAACGAAGUUAGCGGACAACAUUUAAAUAUUAUUCAAUUUCCUGAAAAUUAAUUUCCAUAACUUACUUUAAAAGUAGUUUUUGACAUGUUUCAGUCAGGCUUAGAAAAAUGCCGACGAAUCAAAUAGCAAAUAGCUAUUAAAUUCUUAUGACGUGUGCAUACAAGGAUAUUUGAUAAAGUUAUGGUGCUUUUUAGUUAUUUAGUAAUUAUUGAUUUUUUUCCCACGCCAGUGGUUUGUGCUGCGGCCUGUAUUUGUUGUGAGUGAAUUGAAUGGGUUAAAAGGGCCAAAACAAAAAAAGUAAAGGGUGGGUGUUCUAAUUACAAUUGGGCUGAUAAAAACUAAAGAAUUAAUACUAUUAUGAGCCAAAUAAGCCAUUUGUAGAUAGCGAGAAUUGUUUCAAAACAGCUCACGGUUUAGUAAAACAACCUCUUAGCCAAUAUAAAUGGGAUGUUUCUAAUUUCAAUGAGUUUAUUUAGUCUGCUGUUCAUCCUCAACGUUUUCUUGCUUGUUCUGUAAUGGACGACUGAGGACAUCAGGUCCACAGGAAAAGAGAAAUGUUUCAAUUAGUUAUUUUCCAGUUUUGCUUAUUGUCUCUCUUGAGCCCAAAAAUAAAUUUGCAAUAUUUGUUUUACAACAAAUAUCAGACAAUAUAAUAACCUUUUCCUUCAGUCAUGAUCAUUUUAAUAUAAUAUUAACAGUCUUAUUGUACUAUUAUUGUAUUGUGAAUUUGAAUAAUUUGUUUGAAUUAUGUUUUAGAAUAAGGCAAAAUAAUUAUAAAAUGAUGAUAUGAAGAUAUGAAGAAUUUUUCAUAUGAUUACUGAUUUAUGUCAUCUUACCACGCAGAUUGUUAAAAUAUUCACUCGCGCUCAUUUCAAACAAACAAAAAAAAGUGGACAUUGUAAUCAAAGCAUCAGCCUAUUGUGUGUGUCUGUGUGCGUGAUUGUUUCCCAUGCACGUCAGGAAGAACCAGCGAGAGAAAGAGUGAGAGGUCGGACUGGGAGUGUCGGCGCAGGAUUUACGAGUGUGUAAUGAAGCAUCUCUGAUGUUGACAGACUAAACAGAGACUCUGUCAGCUUACACACACACACACACACCACACACACACACACACACACACACACACACACACACACACACACACACACACACACACACACAUACUGCUCCAGCCUUGAGAAUAUGUCAGUGUCAAUAUGCAAAAGCGAAGGUAAUUGACGUAUAAUAUUGUUGUGCAUGCUGCAAGCAUAUAACCAAUUCCCCAAUCUUAAAAUCAACAGCAGUCUGGACAGUGUGUUGUCGUCAAUACUGUACAUACAGGUAACAGGUUAAACCCUAUCAAUGGCCAUUAGCACAUUAUCUAAUAAUCAAUGGUUUUAAACGGCAAUUUCUCCAUUUGUGCCUCAUAAAUGUUUCUUCUGACACGGUGUUGUCUCUUCAUUAAGCUAAUCUUAAAAAAAAACGAUCCUUGCAAAUACCGUGAGGGGUCGAGGGGAACAUGUUGCUGCGCUAUGCAGCCGGCCGGGUUUGGACGAGGUUCUUCGUUCCCUCUUCAGCUCUGUUUUGACUUGCAUGCCAUCUCUCUGACUACCAGUGAAGCGCCAAACACCCCUGGAGUGGAUUCUGAGCAUACCAAGGAAGAGAUGCCUUUGAAAGGACAGAUGUUCCCGGGCUCAACCUACACCUCCUACCCUGACCGCCAGCCUCCUACCAUUGUAUAUUUGUUCUUGCUCUAUAAAUAACUGGCCGGUGAAGCACAGAAAAAUGUAACUGAUGUGCAGCUGACCUCCGGGCCUCUAAUCUCUGAGAGUGAGAGGGACUCUGGAGAGAAGUUGGUUGAUACAGUCAUGGUAAAUGGGUUUGGGCGAGGGGGACGCAGUGAAACCCACCCAUUUGCGUCCACAUAAGGACUAGUCUCAAUGUCUGGACUGGCUCAGCUGUCUUAUGUAACAGCAGUGUGUAGUCCUGGCGCAUGAGGCGUGAUGGGCUCGAGCCAGUUCAGCCACAUUAUCCAAAAAUAUACGGGGGUUAUUCAAAGGGGAAUGUACAGUUAUUUCAUGUUCUUAAUAUUUUAGUUUGGGGUUUUCUUUCUUUUUUAAAAAUCUCAAUGUGGGUGGUAGAGGAAAGCCUAUUGGUAGUUUUACAAAAAACAACUUAUCGCCUAUCUUCAUUUAUUUCAAACUCUCAAGAACCCCAAAAAGGAUUUUAAUUACCAUUUGGCGAUUUCCCAUUUUAGAAACAGCCUUUUUUUUAAUCCCUAGUUUGUGUUUGCCCCGUUGCUGUGGCUGCGGGGAUGAAUGGGUGAUUGUUCCAGGGCCCUUGCGACAACUCUCCUGGGGCCCAUCAAUUCACAGAGGCUCCUGGAACAUCAGGUCACGGAGAACCCCGCUCUGAAGCUGCAGCUGAUUUUGCCCCAGUUAGAGCUCGGGACCUCCAGGGCGCACAGCUGGGUUCCUUAAAAAAGCCCCGCUGAACGGUUUUAGAAACACUGCAUCUCCUCUUACCCUGCGCUCUCUCCCCACUCGCUCAAAAAGCCCAACACAGCGCAGAUAUCAGAUACUGUGUUUUCUACUCGAUAUGUUCAUCUCUGCUUGCCAAAGCCCCUGGAAACCAUAUUAACGUCUGCGUUCCAUUAUUUAACCAAAAGGCCUCUUCGGUUGGAGAAUUUGUCCAACAUUUCCAUUAGCCGCUCUCACCUUCUCUCUCCUCUUCUCCACAGCUCUACGUUUCGCUCACACACAUCUUCAUUUUCAACCCCCCCCUCCCACACCCCUCUUUCCCCCUCCGGCGCUGCUAUUGUGUCGUAUCGGUUACAGCUGACCACCAGUCAGGUGGGUCUGCGGGACAUUUCAGAUCACGGAGGGGCAGCCAGCUCGCUCAGCGCCGGGAGCCUGCGCUCAGACUCCAGUCCCAGGCCCCGCUGAGGCCUUGUCCCGGGCAGGGCAGAGAGACACCUGGCCAAACCGCAGAAACACUUCCAGCUGCAGACUGCCUGAUGCUCGCCACGGAGAGAAUCCAGGCCAAAGGUGGAGGGGCUCACCGAGGAACUGCUGCGAUACCGGGGACGGCUUCCUGACCAACCAAACUCAUGCUCUUUGGCAGAGACUGGGAAACGGAGCCCAGCAAACUCUUGCUCCUCCAAGUGAAAGUGGGAGAGCACAAGUGGCGAAAAAAAAGAGAAAAAAAAGAAGAGGCAGAGUGAACAACAGCUCCCUUUUCUCUCCGACUAGUUGACUUGAAAGGCCACAUUAUGUCUGAGAUUAGAGGCAAUUACACUGGGAGUGCGCCUUAAGACCUUUGUUUGCCAACAUGACAGGAGGGAGCAGGGCUGUAAUUUGAUGAGGAGGCAGCGCGAGUGAGAAACUCCGCACGUCGAGCUCCCAGUGGGGAGAGGCAGAGAGGAAGCCUUUGUCCGUUGCAUGGCGGGUUGGCCGAGUUAUGAAUGUUUAGAGGAACAAUUCCACCAGCAGCAGAUGUGUCUUUGUCCCGGAGUUCAGAUUUCUUUUGUGGCUACUGUUAAUGGCUGAAAAAAAAAAAUGAGUUUAAAGACUUUACGGCCUCAAAGGGAAAUACUUUCAUCUUCCGCUUGUUCCGGAUCUAUUGUUUCGGCAUUUCUAUCAAUUCCAAUUUCACAAUCGUGUGCCUUCAUUCAAAUGUCACAAAUCCUGUAAACAAAUGAUUCAGCCUGAACUCGCGGGUCAAACAAAAGCACCCUUGGCAUAUCUUCCAGACGAGACAUCUCCUUCAUUGUGGCCGGCUGCAUUGUUCUGAACACGCCGCGAGUUUUCAGGACAGGAAACAAGCAGCUUGUUCCAGCCCGACCGGCGGAACGGAGCACGUCUUUAUUUGAGGGAAGUCAUUCCGUUGAUAUAUAAAACACCAAAGCAAGGUUUCCUUCCCCCCGGCUUUCCUGGUGCUAUCCCCUUCAAAAGAACACAGCCCUUUAUACUGGGCUCACGUGCACACACGGGACCAGAAGAAAAACAAACACAGGCCAUUUAAAUAUCAAGCAAGCUGCCUCCUGUUUGAAUUGAGGAGCUACCGCUCGGCCCCGGCUCCUCCAGCCUUCAGUUACUCGCCUUCUGAGCCCAGUACAACGUAUUGGGGUGUUGAUUUCUGCAGGGUAGGCCAAUACAGUAUGUAGUUGUCUCUUAUUCGGUCUUUGAAGACCAACACAUUCAGCGAGUUUGACAAACGUCUUCCCGGUCAUCGAUGUAAGGAACCGAGAUUCAAGAUUCAAUUCAUUGUCGGUUUCUGGAAAAAACACUACAGUAACUUCAAUGCGAAGGUAGAGAGUCAAAGUACGUAAGGUUCGUAAAGUGCAGAAGUAAAUAAAUCCCGAUGAAUGAUUGCACAUGUAAAGAAUUUGUCAUGUCUGAUAUCUGAUGGGCAAAUAUGUAAAAAGAAAAAGAGAAACUCCGAUAGCAACAGCAGAACUAGUAUAAGCAGCCAGUGUUACAUGGAAACUAAGAUCUCCAGUUACCAAUCAUUGUCAGUAUCGCUAAAAACGUUUCUAACAAUCCCACUUUCACCAUCCGCCAUCUUGAUUUUUUCAACCAAAUGUUCCCGCGAGGGAGUGUGAAGGAGGAAGAGGACCACCUAUUAAAGUGAAAUCUUAGGAGUGAUGGAUGGGAGCUUGUUGAGGGGGAGCGGAGCAGCACACACCCCAGGGAGGUGGAUGAUGAACAAGGAAGGAUGGAGGGAGGGGUGAGCUCACCAAAUCCCCGCUCACACCUCUCGCUGCGGGCGGGUGGAGGGGAUGGAGACCUCCCAUGCUGUCUGCCUCAGAGAUUUGAUUGAUUCAAGCCUCCAAAGUACAUUCAACUUUUGUUUGCUUUCCUUGAAUCUUUUUCUUUCAUCUUAUUGGUUAUAAGUUAAUAUUCCUUCACCAGUUCAUUCUUUUAAUACUUUAAAUACUUCUUAGAUAUAAGCGAGCAAUACUUCACGGAGUGCUGACUGGAUUUGUUAACAAUGACCUGAAACACUUGAAGGCACUUCCCAAACUUAUUUCUCAACAUGGAGCCUUUCCAGCAACACUGUAAUGUUUUCGCUGUAAGCAAGGCCUCCUCAUAUUUCUCCAAAAAAUUGAAAUAUCCUGACAGUCGCAAUUAAUCAGCCAAGUCCUGAAGAGCUUUCAGUGUUUACAUAAUAGCUAUUGGCUACUGUCGGCCCCUCUGAUGGGCAGCCUCAAGCCGCUCGCAGCGGAGAUGAGGAACAGGCUAGCAGGGGCAAUUCUUUUCAGCUCCACACCUCCACUUUGUUUGGUGGGGGGGGCAUUUCAAUAUUGUACUACUCUCAGACGAAACAGACUCAGGUGACAUGACUUUGCGCCACCUCAUCUGGCAUAAAACUCUUUCUUAAAGAAGAGAGUUCCACAUCCAAAGUUUCCUUUGAAGGCUUUUGUGUAAUGUUGCUCCUGUGAAAACAAAUAUUGAUUGACCUUCGUGGGCCACGGAAAUAACAUAUUGGAAUUCCUAAAGGAGAAUAAAGUUGCAUUCAAUUUCUAAAUAGAAAUCACAAUAUACGAUGCUACAAAUAAAUCAUAACAUAUAUAUUUUUGUUUAUUUAUAGUACAUUUUUCACAAUAAAGUCACAAUGAGAAUCUUAAAAAAUCUCCCUUAAACCUUUCAAAACCACUACAAUGUGAGUUUAACACAUAAGUAGUAUAAUAACAGCAUAUUCUUGUACUGUAUGCUGUGCAUAUGGUUUAUUGAUCCACAUCUACCUUGCAUGGAUUUGGAAAAAUGUUUUGGAUAAUUCCAAACCGUAUGAUACUUAAUCUGUACAAAUGAUGGCAGUCUGUGCUGCAUGCAAUUGUAGGGCUGACAAAGAACUAUUUGUGCCCAAAAAAAUAUGUCAUAAGUCAUAUCAUCUAACUAAUAAACUGCGAGAUGCUAAAGGGAAUGCUAAAGUGUGUGCUUACUUUUAACGAGGAAAUCCUGUAGUCACAUUUGAGGACAAUAAAUUCAUGAAGAAGCAAAUGGAGGGGCUGUAGCCCUUGUGGUUUAGCGCCUGGUGUGGGGAGGAAUUACUGCUGUAGUAGUUUGCCUUUAACUGUCAGGAAAUGACCCAUAAUCUGCAAGCGUUUGACUGCUGCAGCAUUCCUGUGAAAUGACACAAGUUGAGCUAGAUUAGGGGCUGGGUAAUUAGCUCAUUAGUCAACAUAAACACAUGGCAGGACUCCCCCGUUCUACACCCUGCCCCCCUCCCGCCGCCCACAGCUGGUGGCGAAAGUAAAUUCUCACAAAUGUAUGCACAUGCAUACCUGAGCGAACACAUAUACAGACAUGCACGCUGCACCCAGACCACUUCAUCAAUCCAAUUCCUUUCUUCUGGACUUUGUUUUUCCUCCAUGGCUUUUUUUUUUCUGGCUUCAUCAUCUCUUCUAUUCUGCUUCGCUCCAGACAAGCCACUCUUUCAUAUUGUAGCCCUGGGGGCUGAGGGCCAGCCACUUUUCACCAGCACCUCGCGGCUUAUCAGAGCACUUUAUCAGCCUGAGGGAAAGAGAUGUGGGUUAAAGCUCUUCACUCCUCUCUGCUCUGAAAACCGGCAGGCUGUCGGCAAACAAGUAUUUGUAAGCUGGGGCUCAGAUAUGUGCGCCUUGCGACAAAGAGAAAAGCUUAAGGGGGUCAUGUGUUCCAGUGUGGGUUUAAGUGUGUCUGUGUGCACGGGAAGUACAGGACAUCCUUUGUGCGCAGAGGUAAGCCGGUCGCCACACAGCCUCGCUUGUUGCUGGUGGGACAGAUGCUUAACACUGGAACCUGGACAGCCCUUCACACCUCCUAAAUGCGGCAGGGGGCUAGAGCCUUUUCCUCCUCUCGCACCCCUCGAGGUCACCACACUGCUCUCUUUCAUCAAAGCAUCUCUAACCGUAUGAAACACUUCGCCAACUUGAUCAAGACGGUGUUGAAAACCUUUCGAAGUUUCACUUCCGCCACGUUGAUAGAACACUGCAGAAAGAGGGGGGAAAAAAAAUAAAAAAAUCAACCCAGUUUUAGCACCUUGAAUUGCGGGCACAAGCAACUUUUCAUGUUCAGAACAGGACCUGCAGUGUUUUUGCAUGGGAGCCAUUGGAAACAGAAAGCCUGGUUGGUGGUGCGUAAUGAUUGAUAUGAAUGGCCAUUUGUGCGGCUUUCCACUGUGAAGAACUGGCUGCGAGGCCAGGCCACUUGGGGAGCAGUGCACCUGGGUCACAUGAUGUUUGACAGAGGGGAGGUGGGACAAGCCGAGAGAGACGGGGCGGGAGGAGAGAGGGAGGAGAGAGGGAGGAAAUCGUUUUUCGAGCGAUCAAUCAUCUGCAGUUUGCUACCGAGACUAGUUGCUAGAUUGGAAGUUGUGUUUAGAUACAGCCACUUAAUCAGGAGACGACACAGCUGAUGGAUUCAUCCAUCAUCGCCUGGAGACACGGAACAUUGUUUGAUUGAAAGAGAGGAAAAAAACGAGAGCUCUCCUCACUGGUCGUCCUUUGAGUUGCAAUGUGUUAAAGUUGGACUGAUUCGGUUUGGCUUCGUGUGUGCGCGCUUGACAGAUUGUGCAACUUAAUAUAUUGCCUGAAGCAAUGACGCUAUGUUGGUUUUCAUAAAUCCCAUUCAUGGGUGGAAAGUUAACAUGCAAAGGCACAGUUCCUAGUUUACAUUGGCUCUGUAUCAUUACAUAGGGGAUGGGAGGACUGGAAAUACAAAAAUGUCCGUCAAAAUGUGCUUUUAUUUUAUCACUUAACAACUUUUGUUGUAGGUUUGAGUUUUAUUUCAGACCGUAUGUAUACCGUAAGCAUUUAUAUUCAUUGGUGUAGACACAAUGUAAUUCAUACAACAUAUCGAGACACACUGAGAUAAAUAUUUGUCACAAUACAUUUUUGGGAUAUUCAUAUUUUCAAAUAUGUACAGGCAAUCAAUAAAGAAAUGCAGAAAAACA